UACGGAGGGGGCGAGUGUUGUUCGGAAUUACUGGGCGUAAAGGGCGCGCAGGCGGCAUGGCAAGUCGAGUGUGAAAUCCCCGAGCUUAACUUGGGAAUUGCGCUCGAAACUACGGAGCUGGAGUGUGGCAGAGGAAGGUGGAAUUCCACGUGUAGCGGUGAAAUGCGUAGAUAUUCGCAAGAACACCAGUGGCGAAGGCGGCUCACUGGCCCGAUACUGACGCUGAGGCACGAAAGCGUGGGGAGCAAACAGG
rnacentral:rRNA from 1 species